ACGCGGGGAUCAUCUUUGGAAACGAAUGCUAAUACGCAUAAACAAACUAAACAACAAGUUUUUAAGUUUGAAAAGAGAGAUUGCACAGCACUCAAAUAGGAUGACGCAGACGGUGUGUAUUAGCUAGUUGGUGAGGUAAGGCUCACCAAGGCGAUGAUAAUAGCCGACCCUGAAGACAGGUAUCGGUUACCACAAUAGCGACACCUCUGGAGUAGACAGCACGGCCCAAAACUCCUACCGCAGGCAGCAGUAGGGAAUAUUCGGAGACGUGGACGAAAAGUCUGAACAGAGCAAACGCGCGCGUGAACGGUCGCACACGAAGAGUGACCGUGAAGUAACUCUGACUGGUAGAGAAGAACCCGCCUGGUGAGAGUGGAAAGCUCAUCAGUGACGGUAACUACCAGAAAGGGACGGCUAACUACGUGCCAGCAGCCGCGGUAAUACGUAGGCCCCGAGGUUGUCCGGAUUUAUUGGGCGUAAAGCGAGCGCAGGUGGUUUAUUAAGUUGGGUAAAGGCAGUGGCUCUAACCAUGUAUGCAUUGGAAACUGGUUAGACUUGAGUGCAGGAAGAGGAGAUGGAUCAUGUGUAAGCGGUGAAAUGCGUAGAUAUUGGAGGAACACCGGUGGCGGAAAGCGGCUCUCUGGCCUGUAACUGACACUGAGGCUCGAAAGCGUGGGGAGCAAAACAGAUUAGCUACCCUGGUAGCCACCCGUAAACGAUGAGUGCUAGAUGAGGGGCUCAUAGUCUCUUAUGCAGCUAACGCAAUUAAGGCACUCCGCCUGGGGAGUACGACCGCAAGGUUGAAACUCAAAGAACUUGACGGGGGCCCGCAAAGCGGUGGAGCAUGUGGUUUAAUUCGAAGCAACGCGAAGACCUUACCAGGUCUUGACAUACUCGUGCUAUUCCUAAGAUAGGAAGUUCCUUCGGGACACGGGAUACAGGUGGUGCAUGGUUGCGUCAGCUCGUGUCGUGAGAAUGUUGGGUUAAGUCCCCAACGAGCGCAACCCCUAUUGUUAGUUGCAUCAUUAGUUGGGCAACUCUAAACGAGAAUGCCGGUGAUAAAACCGGAGGAAGGUGGGGAUGCGUCAAAAUCAAUCAUGCCCCCUAUGACCUGGGGCUACACACGCUGGCUACAAUGGAUGGUACACGAGUCGCGAACAGUGAUGGUUUAGCUAAUCUCUUAAAACCAUCUCAAGUUCGAUGUAGCGCAACUCGCCUACAUGAAGUGAUCGCUAGUAAUCGCGGAUCGACGCCGCGGUGAAUACGUUCCGCGGGCCUUGUAACACACCGCCCGUCACACCACGGGAGUUGGGAGUACCCGAAGUAGGUUGCCUAAUCCGCAAGAGGGCGCUCCUAAAGGUAGACCGAUGACUGGGGUGAAAGUCGUAAACAAGGGUAGCCGUAUCGAAGGUGCGGCUGGGUCACCUCCUU
rnacentral:rRNA from 1 species